ACCCCAACUCACUCCUUUUUCGACAAGUCAAGGCAAAAUACCUAUCACAACACCGACAUCUAAUCAAAUGGGCUAAGUGGGUCAGGUGCACAGUUCACGGGCGACGCCCAGCCUUGAAUUGGGGACAUCGUAGAGGAGCCUGUGGUUCUGCUGCUGCAAGUUGGCAAUGACGUUCAGCACCGAGUUCACGUUGUCAGGGGCGGCUGCCAUGGCCAGGCAGGUCGUGCUGCCGGCGGUGCUGUGAAUCAGCAGGUUAUCCGGUGGCAGCGUCACGUUCAUGCCCGUGAACAUGAAGGUUAUCGUGGGCGCUGCUAUGGGCACCGUGUAGCAUGUGUCGAAUCCCCCCAGUGACGUUACUGUCAAGUUCCUCCCCACCCUGUUUCUGAACGCGUCUCUCACUGCUAUGUACGCCGGCGUUACGAGCCUCGUGAACACCGUCCCUGGUUCACAACCCUCUUUGUAAUUAUACUUCCAUUCGUUUACAAAACUAAAUCAUUCCUUAAUUCCCUUUCUUCAGUUAUAAUUCAAAAUUUUCAAUUUUAAAUGAAAAUGAUAAGUUCACUAUAGUUAAUUUCUUCGAAUUGUUUUCCGACGGAUAUCACAAAAUAUCAUAUUUAUCGACCGAUAUUAUAUCCGAAAAAGCAAUUCGAUAAAUCUAACUAAAGUACUCGGCAUUACUCACUAUUAAAAUAAAAUGUUUAAAUUUUAAACCAUUAAUUAUGUUAAUUUUUUUUAUCACUUCAUGUGAUAGGUGAUUGUUAAAGGUCUUUUAAUGAUUACCUAUCACAUCAAUGAGAUAUAGAAUAUGAUAAAGUAUGGCAAUAAUGUUAAUAAGUAUUAACAUUAAUACCUAUAUUGUAUAUGCAGUAGUGUUUACAAUUUUUUUAAGUAUGGAGGAAAAUUAACUAGAGAAAUAAAGAUUUUGUGAAUAGAAAAGGUUACCGGAGUCAAAGAUGGUGCCGGCACCGGUGGAGGGGUUGAAGGUGAAGGAGCCUGGAGGGACGUCCACAACUCUCCGGCCGACCCUAACUGCCAUAAGGUUGACAAAGUAAAGUGAUGGUCUUCUAGGGUUCUUGAGCAAUGGGGUGUACUUGAUCCUCUUGGGCUGCCCAACUGGGCCCAACCUCAGCGACCCAGAGAAGUUGAGGGACUUGAAGCUAGGCAAGCAGUAGGAGAAUGUGGAUUGGUAUAGGUUUUGGGUCUGGGACAGCAACGACAAGGGGCCUCGGCCCAGGCCCAGGAGGCCCUGCGCCGGUAGGGAUCCGCCGGUGGCCUUUUGUAUGCAACCGAAGCUGUAGCCGGGGACUGCAUCGGUGGCUAGGGUGAUGGUGUCCUGUGAGAGGUUGGCUGCUAAGGAGGAGCCACCAUAGGUGAGGUUGAAUGAGCACACCCCCCCACCGCAUGUGGGUUUUGGCACCUGAAAUUACGCGAAGAUCAUAGAAGUUAAAAAGUCUUUUUUUAUAUAAAGGCCCUGGUGACAUGUCAAGAAAAAAACAAAGGAAACAACACUCGGAGAUGUGAGUAAUGGUGAGAGUAAAUGCAGUACCUGCUUACACUGAGCAGCUUGGCAGCCAAGGGACUUGUAGGUAGUAGAGGCAGGAGAGUUAAAGAGAGUGGAGGAGCAGCCCAGACAGCCAUUGCAAGGAAUCCAAGCAACAUCACUGCUGGUGUCCAUGGCCAUGAGCAUGGUUUGAGCAGGAGUUCCAAUCUUAGCCCUCACAAUAUAAGUUGGGUUCUGGACGAUCUGCCUGCCUGAAGCAAUAGGCACUACAGAUUUGCGGGCGACAAGGCUAGAUAAAAACUGGAGCCUGGCCUUGUCCUUGGCCUGCAUUUGGAGCACACUCUCCUCCCAGGACAGUGGCUCUUUUGGCCUGAAUGGAGAGCAAGGGCUGUAGACAUGGAGGACUUGGAGGGUGGAGCCUUGGUCAGGGGUCUCACAGUUGGGCUGGGUGAGUCCAAGUGCCAGGGAGAGGAAGAGGAGGGUAAGGCAGAGUAGAGGAAACAGAGAAGGGAAAGAGAGCCUCAUGGCUGGGGAGUUUGAUGGUCUGAAUGUGGGGGAGAGGGAGAGAGAGAGUUGAUAUUUAUAUAUAUGGCUGAUAUAGUAUUAUUGUGGGUAGUGGGGUGGAAUGUAGCUAGUGAGACCAUGAGUGGGUGUAUUAUGGCUUGAUAACAGACUGUAUUCCAUUUGCUUUUCCCCUGUAUGGGCCUCUUCCAUCCAAUCCACAUGUCAUUUUUAUUUUUACUUUUGUAAAUUAAUUUAUGUCACAUUGGCAGAGGCAGAGUGUGAUCUUCUUGGCACUUGGCUUGUCAAGAAAGUGACUUAUAAAGGACAAUAAUGCCAUUUCCCCCCCCCCCCCCCCCCCCCCCAAGGGGGGAAAAACCAAAAUUCAGGUAAACCCCCCCCCACCAUUUCAGAAUUGGUUUUUUUAAAAAGUUUUNNNNNNNNNNNNNNNNNNNNNNNNNNNNNNNNNNNNNNNNNNNNNNNNNNNNNNNNNNNNNNNNNNNNNNNNNNNNNNNNNNNNNNNNNNNNNNNNNNNNAAAGGAGCCCCUUUUGGGGGGGGUUUUUUUUUUUUAAAAGGGGGGGGGGGGGGAAGAAGGAGGUUUUUUUUUUUAUUUGGGGGUAAAUUUUUUUUUUGGGGGGGGGGGGGGGGAAAUUCUGUUGGGAGCCCCCGGGGGGGGUUUUUUUGGGUUUUAAACAACAUUUUUUUCUUUUUUUUUUCCCCGUAUGGGGGCUUUUCCCCCCAACCCCCUAUGUUUUUUUUUUUUUUUUUUUUAAAAAAUAUUUUGUCCCCACUGGGGGGGGGGGGGGGGUUUUUUUUUGGCCCUUGGUUUUUAAAAAAAGUCUUUUUAAAAGGAAAAAAUUCCCUUUUCCCCCCCCCCCCCCCCCCCCCCAAAUGGUGGUAUAAACUAAAUUCAAGUUAACAUCCUCUCUAUGAUCAUGAAAUGGAUUUUAUGAUAUAGUUUUUAAAUGACAUGACAAGAUAAAAUGUUCUUGUUCUUGUGAUGGGGUAGGCACAAUUCAUCAGCGCAAAUCAUGGGGGGUGGGAGCCAAUAUGUUGGACAUGUUCCUAAUAACCCAAUAAUAAAUGAACAUUUUCCCAUAACGUAUUUCUACUCUACUUUUAGAUUUACAUGAAAAGUUGCUUUUUUUUUUUUCUUUUUUCCAAAAGUUCAUCUUCAAAAUUACAGUCCACUUAAAAUAAAGAGAAAAGAAAAGGUAUACGGAAAAUGUAUGUAGCUUUUCCUUCUUCCUUUUCUUUUAUUGACAUUGCAAUUCAAUGAUCAAAUUAUUGCAUGGUUCAUCCUAGCAUGACAUUCAAUUCUUAAAGGUGAUAUAAAAUACGAGAGAAACAAAAUAGAAAAAAGAAGUAAAAGAAAAAAAAAAAGAUUUAAAGGUAAUAAAUUAUUUUUAUAUAUUAUUUUAAAAUUUUUCACUUAUUUAACUUUUCUAUAUAAAUAUUAAAUAAUUAAAAAUAUACAAAUUCCUUAAUAAUAAAAUCAAAUAGAAAAAAAUUAUUUUUCUUUUCGAGAACCAAAUAUACUCAAAAGGUUGAGAUGUUAAGAUUUGUGCUUAUACCAUACCAUAGGCUUGUUAUAUUUCUUUUCGGUUUUGCUUGUGACGUGAAUAAAAUGAAGUCAACAAACAUAAGAACGUGGUGAGAAAGACUCUUGACAUUACAUUGACAACAAUUUUAUUUUUUUUAAUCUAAAUUAUUACUAUUCAUAUUUAGAAUAUAAAAUUGACAAAAUCACUUCCAAACAGGUAUAUUAGAAAUUUACUUAAAAUUACUUUCAAACAAGCCUAACUAGGUGAAAAGGGAAUUUGUCCUUAGUAUUCGACCUUUAUUUUCAUCAUCGAUAGAACCAGGAAUAUAAGACAAGAGGGCAAAAUAGAAAAAAUUAGUUUCAGGGGGAUAAUGUCGCAUAAAAAAUAUGUUUAACUUAAUCAUUAAACCUUCUUUCUCUUUAGCUUAGUGGAAAUUUAGUUUUUCAAGAAGACCCUUCCCGACGUAUGUAGACUAAAGAAUAACGUUAAAAAUAAAAAUAAAAAAUUACUAUCAAAAUCGAAAGAGAUGGACAUGAUCCGGCUUUGGUGCGUACAAUAAUGAAAGAUGAUAUGAGAUUCUACUAAAAGGUAAAAGAAAGGGUUGUUGUGAGUAACACAUAUGGCAUACCCCACAAGUUAAGGGUAAAAGGCUUAAAGUAGAGGCCUUGAUACGGCCGCAUCGAGUCAAUUUUUUGAAAAAUGCAACCGUUGAUGGACCCACCAAAAACACCAAGACAAAAUGCUUGAAAUCAUUCAUCCAAAUUCCUCACAGUGCUACUAUGUAUAUGAUAUCUCACACGUACACUUUCUCUAGUAAAACCCGCCAUCAAAGGAUCAACUGAAAUUCCAAACCAAUAAAUUAUUCAUCAUCAAAUAAGCUUGGGGCAAAAUGCCACAAGAAAUGAUGAAGAAUAGUCUUUUCCCUGACCAUGUUCAUUUUCUUUAUCUUGGUGGGGGUGUGGGAUGCUUUCAUUGGGAACUUAACCCAAUUGUCACCGUGUACACGUACCUAAAUAUUUGGUUAACUCAACGUAAAAGUUAAAAGCCCAAUUAUUGUUUUUUAAAAUAGUUGAAAAAAUAGUUUUUGAAAAUAAUUUGUGAUAACCGUUAUAAUGUUUUGUAAAAUAAAAUUUUAAAAUAUUUUUAAUUUAUUUUAAUACUUUUAAAAAUAAUAUUACUUUAUUUUCAAUUAUUUUUUUAUAUUAGUAUAAUUAUUUUUUAAAAUAAUCAUUUAAAAGAUGUUAUCUGAAAAUACUAUAUUUUUUAUUUUAUGAUUGUAAAAUAUGUUUUUUAUUUUAUAUUUUCUUAAAUAAGAGUAAAUAAUUUUUUUUUAAUUAUCAAAUAUGACUUGAGACUUAUUUGUGAACAUUUUCAAAAAUAGUUUUUGAAGGAUAAUUUUUUAAAAAUAGUUGUUUUGUUUUCUAAAAUAAAAUAUAUUUAGAAACCUCAAAUGCUCUUAGCAUAUUUUCUUUGUUUUUAAAUAUUUUUUAAAAGUAAUUUUUAUUUAUUUUUUAUUGUUUUCAUAUUAAUGUAAUUAUUAUUUUUUAAAUAAAUCCUAAAAAAUAGGUGAAAACAAUUAAAACGGUUAACAAAAAUUAUCAAAUUUGUUUUUGAGUCAUAAAAACAAUUUUAUGUUUUUUUUUUUUAAUAUGAAAAACAGUCACACAAGAGGUUGUAACAAUCUUAAGGAUAUUUUAAGUGGUGAGUGGAAUCACUCAUUAAGCUCAACUCAAAGAUUUGUUCAAAAUCCCACUAGAUCAAGAUAUAAUUAAUGGAUGUGUCCAUGGGAUACCUGUCAAUAAAGUCCUAGCUAGGGAGCAUUAUUCAACACAAAUAAAUGGAUAAAUGUGAAGAGAACAGAAGUAGCAUCAUGGGCUAUUAAGGAGCAAUGGAGCAUUAUAUAAUAUGAUAGUGACUUGAGGCAGUGAUUAUUUUAAUUCAUAGUAAGAUCUUGAUCUGAUAGUAUAUUUAAAUAAAAAUAAAUGGAGGAGGAGACAUAAAGGGGCAGGAGAGAGAAAGGGAGAUUCCCUUUAUGGGGUGUUUGGGUGAUGGGUUUUGUCUCUUUCUUCCCAUCCAUACUCUAGUGAUGAGUGAUGAGGAGGGAAAAGGAGCAAAACAAACAGCUCCAUAGUGCAGUCAAGCUCAGCUGUGUGGUAGAAUCAAGCUCACCCCUGCUUGUUUUGUCCAUUUCCCUCAUUCACAGGAUACUGCAGCCGACUGAUGAAGCUAUUUGUGGUUUGUCCACCUGUGAAAUGGGACAGCCAACUGUUUUCUGUCAUGCCCACCAGUCCUUACCCUAUUCUUUCACACCUAAAACUGGUUGGAAUCACGUUCCCCUUCAACUUUGGAAUCCUUUUAACCUUGAAAUGAUUAGGACCUAGCCUUGCUUAUAGGGUAGAUUGGAAUUGAUGUAACUUCAAUUUUGCCUUAUGGGUUUUGAGUUGUACUAAUAUCUAUUGGAUAAAAGAUUCACAUGAUAUAAAUAAAUAAAAUUAAAAUAUAAAUAAUAAGACUUUAAAAUACAUAUACAAUAUUAUCUGAUCAAUGAUAUCUUUUUUAUAAAUAUCGAAAAAAUAUAAACCCGAUUUUGUAAUGGGAAUGAAAAGUUACUAAAAAAAAAUGAGAGAAAGAAGCUCAAGUAAGGAAUCAAAUCCAAUAGGACAAAAAUGGUUGCACAUGAUCCAAUUUUGCAAUAUGAAUUCAUUAUCAUAUCACUACCUUAUUAUUGUAUGCUCCACUUCUAGAUGCCUACACUCUUGCAUGUUAUAAAAAUCAUCACCUAAAAGUAGAGUAAAUACAAAUGAAGACAGACGGAACCCCAUUUGAUUGGUCUCUCAAUUAUGGGUUCUGCAUACAAUUUGUUCACAAGUUUAUUUAGAGGGUUGGGUUUCUUCUUCUCACAUGAGUUUAGAUUCCCAAGAGAUAUAUAAAGUCUACAGCUGCCAUAUUUUGUUUUGGAUUUGAAGCUUUGGAUACCCAAAUCCUCAGAAAAGAGAAGGGAAAGUCAUGGAGUUAGAAGAGGCAUGUUCCCAUCUGGGACUGACUGGAUAAAUGGCUGGACAAGAGCCAUGGUAACACGUGACCCCCAUUAAUUAUUUCAAUAUAUUAAUGGGCAAUGGCAGCCAAAUAGUUACAGGAAAGUCUUUUUCCUCCUUCUCUAAUGGGCUAGGAGAGAUCAAUUUUUGGAAUGCUUUAAUGACUUGUAGGAAACUAAGGUUUUAUUGAGAGAAAAAGAAUCAGGGGAUUGUCUCCAUUUUCAUUAGUGUCUUCACUUUACACCCACAUAUUCAACUAAGUCUCAUUUUGAUUCCAAAAUGGUGGCAUGCUCUUGAGAUAAAUUAUAAUAAAAAAGGUAGUGGGCAUUGAAGUAGAAGAAAUUGGUCACAAGUGAGGUAGGUAAAGGUGACUAAGGAUGGGAUCUUAAAUGGUCCACACACUAUUAGGAAUUAGACAAAAUACAUACUUUACACCGAUUCAUCAUUAGACAAGUUUGGCCACAUGGAAUCUUCUAGUGCCGUGAUCCGAAUAUGCGCGCAUUUGGGUUCCUUUCACAUAAUUCCUAAUCAUUUUUCUUGUUUGAAAUCAUUUUCAGUUACCAAUCAUAUGUCUAUUGUCUAUAUGAUUAAAAGAAACUCAUAAUAUAAUUGCAAAAACUUUUUAUCCUAUCCGAUAUAAAAUAUUACAAUUAAUUCUCAAGUAAAUAUAAUAUUUUUAUCAUAUCCCAUGAAAUUGCGAGGUUAUUGUAUCAAAUAGAUAGACAUUCCUCAUUAAACCAAACAAACUCUCAUAUUAGGAUUAGAGAUCAGUUCUGAUGUUAUUUAUAAUAAUCAAUUUUUAAUUUUAUAGAUAUUAUCCGUUUUAUGUCCGAUGAGAAAUAUCACAAUUACUUCAUUUUUUUUUUCUUUUAAUUUAAGUGGGAAUGUAGUAUUAGGAUCAAGAUUUAGCCAUGUCUCCUGAAAAUCAAUUGACUAUCAAUAAGGCCAAAGUAAUCCUUUUUAUGUGUUUGGAUAUCCAUUAGGUGUACAAAAUGGGAUUUGACCUAUCCCACACAGCACACAAACUCGAUUCAUAGCAAAUACUUAUCUGAAAUGUCAUUUCUUAAUAGCCAUUUUUGCGGGCUAGAAGACAUGUAGGUGAUAGCUAUGAGACAUAUUUUAUGAUAGCAGUGAAUGAAAAUGGGCACAAUUGUAGGGGUACUCUUGAGGUUGAGGCAAACUUCCAAGAAAAUAGGUGAAGAAUCUGGGAGGGAGUAAAUGUGUAGUGUGGAGUAAACACAACGAGAUAAAAGAGUACGACACAAGAUAUGAAAAUUGGGAGAAGAAGAGGGGUGGGGUAUAGUGAGAGAGGUUAGAAUGGCAGGCCCAUAAGCAGGGAAGGUGACACAGAAAGGAAAGGGAAAGAGAUGUGGCAGCAGCACCAACCCUUUGCAGGCUUUAUUCAAACUUAGGGUUGCAUGGCCGCUUCUUUAUGGCCGACAACACAUCACCCCUCCACCCCAUUUUCAACUUAAGGUGGUCCUAGGAAUUCUCUUCCCCCUCCCCCACGCAAUAAAAUGAAAACCCCAAAUUAUAAGACUUUCUGAUUUUGGUCAUUUUCCCAUACAUUAUGAAAUGCAUGAAAGAAUGAAAUCAAAAUUAUAAUAACACUUAAUUUUAGUUUACAUCCCAUGUUUUAGCAUGCUUGAUAAAAAUAAACCAAAUAUGACAUUUUUUGGGGUUUUUUUACAAUUUUUAAGAAAAAUGUUUUAAAACCCGUCUUAUUUGGUAUAAAACUAAAUUGGAUCUGAAUUCAUCUUUUGAUAAGAUGGUUUAAUGUAAAUAUAAAACAAUUAGCAAAUAGUGGUAUCCAAUGUGGUUACAAGUGUUAUUUAUUUAUUUAUUUAUUUUGUUGAAAUAACCUUUUUUUAAAUAAUAGUUUAAAAAAAAAAAUACAAAAAGUUUGCUGGUGGAUUGGGUGUACUAGAAGCAGCCAUGCCCCCACAAAACCACUAACUAGAAUGAUAUUUUUCCACAAGGGACCACCCUGCUGCAGAAGUUGCUUUUGGCCUUCUUGUUCAAUGUAUUGACCACCGCAGCUUAAUGGGCCUGAUAUGGGCUCAUGUCUUGGGCCCACCAGGAUAUAUGCCCAUGUGCAUCAACUCAACUUGAAGAUAAUCAUCAAACUACUACAUUUUCUUUGUGAUUUUAGCAUUGAUUACAAUCCAUUCUAAUUGUGAUCUUCUUGGGCAGAAAUUAAACGUUGGCAUUAGAUUUGAUUCAUUAUGAUUUUGUUCUCUAGCAUUAGCUUUUUGUGAUUUAGCUUUUUGUGAAACUCAUAUAGGCCCAUGUUGAUUUAAAAUUGAUGCUCCCCAAAUGAUCAUUUAUAUGAAUAAUGUUGUCAUGUAAAAUGAAAUUUUCUUUUAUUGAAAAGAUAGCAGAAUUUAGCAUAAUUUGGGAAAAUCUCCCUUUCUCUUUUUCCUGUUAUUGGAGUUGGGUUUGGAUGUUUAAGUGGGUUGACCCAACCCGACCCAAUAAACAAGAAAAUAAGGGAGCUUUUUAUCAGAAACCGUCGGUAUUAAGAAUUUUUUUAAUUAGAAAAAAAGAAUACAUUUUCUCCUUUAAAUUACAAAAUAAAAGAAAGAAUACAAUUCUUCUUUACGAAGAAACAAAAAAAUUCUCUUGAAUUUAUUUUUUCUCCAUAAAAAAUAAAAGUCAAAACUCUUGUGCUGUGAAAAAAAAUAAUUCUCGUAUUUGUGGUUCCAUUUACAACUUGAAAAAAUAAAAUUAAUUACUGAAACAAUCAAAAUGUUCUAACAUUUUAGAAGAAAACCUGAAAGCUUUAUUUUACAUCACCUAUCAAUAAUGAAAAAACAAUACAAUUCCAAGGGAAAGUGGAGGAAAAUGGUGUGGAUGGCCAUCAACCAUGACAUUAAAUGAAUUGAAGGAGACCCAUGGGAAAAUGAAACUCUUUUUCAUGAAAGAGACUUAAGGUGAAAUUUGGGUCACGUUUGGUUGAAUUUAAUCUGAGGUCCCCUUACUUGCCAGUACCAUGUGGAAUUUAAACUGACUGCCACAAAAAGGACUACCAUGUGGAACUGAGGGAGAGAUGAUUUUUUUUGGUGAGAGAUGUCAUUUUGCCAGUGCUUUUUGACUGUUGCUCCAUUGGGCUAUCAUGGAUUACAUUCCAGUAACUACAUCCCACCAAGAUGCUGGCUUAAUUUUUGUUAGGGUUAAUUUCAUUUAUCUCCCUUUAAAUUUUGGUUAAAUAUACUUAACUCUUGUCGGUUUAAAAUUUUAUCAAAUACCUCCCCUAUCAUUUUCAUAUGAUAUUUUUGUUUAUCUCUUAUCUAAUUCAAAAUAAAAAAGGUAUUUGACAAAUUUUCAAACCGAUGAAAGUUAGUUAUAUUUAGCUAAAACUUCAAAGGAGGUAAAUAAAAUUAACAUUUUUUUUUUUGUUAAUUUUAGGCUUUCAUAUAAUUAUGGGAACCGGGACAUGUUUGGGAGUGAUUAUGAGUAAAUCAUAUUUAGUUUGUAGUGAUAAAUAAAAUCAUUUAAUGUUUGGAUAUAAACAAAAGAAAAAAAAAAUAUUUUAAUACUAUUUCUGGUAUUGUAUUAUAAAAAAAAAAAUGAUUUUUUUGGAAGAAUUUCUUAUAGGGAAAGCGGGUUUUCAUACGUCCAAAUGAAAAAAAAAAUCACAAAAUAGAAACCUUAAUUUAUAAAAUACAAAUUUCAAGCAACCAUUUAAAAAUAAUUGGCAUUUCAUGCACUUAGUACCUUUGAUCAUUCAAGUUAUGUCUUUUAAUAAUACAUGUACUAUUUUUGAAUACUGAUAAAUAUAUGAAACUUGAAUUAUUUUUAAAAGUUUCUAUUUUGUGAUUAUUUUUAUAUGGAUGUAUGAAAACACAUUUUUUUCCACUUCUUAUUAAGUGAUUGUCUGAAAAUCAAUUUCCAAUGAUGUUUUAUAUCUUUUAAAAUAAUUUUUUAAAAUUUUCAAAUACCUAAUUUUUAAGAGAAAAUAUUUUCAAACAUUAAAAUGCAUUUCUAAUCUUUUUCAAAAUCAUUCUCAAAUAGGUUGUAACUUUAGAAUUCAAGUCGAAAUAUCUUAUAUUUGAAACUUUUGCUUUUGUAAACCAUUGUAUUAUUAAAUAUUCAUAUUUGAAACUUUUACUAGAACCAAAUAGAAUUACAAGCCACAUAAUUUUUUGGAAGGCCAUCAUUUCAAUUUAGUAUGUUAACUAGUAGUGGAUGCUUAUGACUCACUUAGUAAAAAAAAAAAAGUAUGCAUUAAAAAAAAAGUGAUAAGACAAAUAUCAUCAUGUGAUAUCUCAACUUUGGAUUCCAAUUUUCCAUCUCACAAAUAUUUUCACAUACAUCACGUGAUAUCUCAACUUUGGAUUCCAAUUUUCCAUCUCACAAGUAUUGUCUUUCAUGUGAUAUCACAACCUUGGAUUCCAUGUUACUCUCAACAAGUUUCCUUAAAAAAAAAAAAAUAGUAAGUUUCAAGUUCAAGUACUCUUUUAGGCACACACACCAAAGAAAUAAAAAAUAAAAAUAAAAAGUAUCUUUUUAGAAUAGUUCUAUUUAGUACCAUUUUCAAAAAUUUAAAUAAUUUUUCAUAAAUAAAUUGUGCAAAUUGCUAUCAUCCUUUUAAAAGUAUUCAACAAAAGCAUCCUUCAUUUUUCACAUUUUCCUAUGAUAUCCUCUAUUUUUUAAAAAUUGAUCUCACAACCCUUAAAUAAUUAACUUACCAAAACAACUAUUUUCACCUAUUUUGUCAUUUAUAGACCAUUUACUUUGCUAAAUAUACACAUUUUUAUAUUUUUAUUUUUAACCAAUAACAAAUUAUAAAAUUUUCAAAAUUUUAAAUGAAUAUUAAAAUCAUAUUAUUUAUUCAAAAUAUAAAUAAUAACAUUUUAGAAAAAAAAAUUAACAAUACAUUAUAAUAUUUAAAAGAAUUACACAAAUUUUAAUUUAAUUUAAAAUAAAUAUUAAAUUAUGAGAAAUAAAUAGAAUGCAAAUAGAUAAUAAUUUUUAAAUCAAUAAUAUAGUAAUAUAUUUUGUAAAUAGUAAUAUUAAUAAUAAAAACACAAAUCAUAUAUUUAAAAAAAGAAUAAUAAUAUUUUACUAGAAAUGAUAAAAUAUGACUAUUAAUAUUUUAAUAAAUUUAUAAAUUUUAAUUUUUGGAAAUAAAUAAUAAUAUUUUAUAAGAUGACAAUAGUUAAAUAUAUAUUUGAUCUAAAAUAAACUAUAAAAAUGAGUACGAUUCUUUUUUUUUUUUUUAAUAUGUAAAUAAAUCAAGUCUUUCUAAUGGUAGGUAUGCAUUUACUUCUUAAUAAUUGAAAACAUAUCCUAAAUCUCUUUAAUCUAAUAAUUUAUGAUAUUACUUGACUCAAUUUUGUUAAAGUGUAACAAUGUCGUUCUUGAACCUCAUGAUAGGUUACCCAAAUGAUGGUGAUGUUGAAUGCCAUAAAAAUCUUGGCUUAUCAUCACUAAAUACCAAUUGGUUUUUCAAUGUAAUGAUCAAAACCUGAUCCAAAAAUUGAUAUUAGAACCAAGUUCAUGAUACAUCACAUUAGGGUACAAUAAUAUCAUUCUUAAGCUAAGGGAUAGGUCACUUAAAUGAUUGUAAUGUCAAAUGCCAUAAAGAUUUGACCUAUGAUUUUCAUGCUAGAAGGUAAAAGUUCAAUCUAAGAAAUUUUGAUUUCCAAAUUAUUUUUAAAAAUUACUAGAAAAUUUUGAGUCCUAAAUUAUUUUUAAAAAUGAUUAGGCUUGUUAAAGAAUCAAAUACAUCAAGUUUCACUUGAUUUGGAGUAUGUUUUCUUGGUGAAAAUAUUCAAAUAUAUAUAUAUAUAUAUAUAUAUAUAUAUAUAUAUAUAUAUAUAUAUAUAUAUAUAUAUAAUUAGCUAUGGAGGAGAAAUUGACAUAGUCACUUCGGUCUAGUUUUGGUCUAGAAAAUUCUAGUGUUGUUUAGCAUAAUUUUUAUAUUCCAAUUUAUUUUUAAAAAUAAUUAGGCUCAUUAGUCAAUUCAACACAUUUUUUUUGCUUGAUUUGGAAUUUGUUUGUCAAUUGAGAAAAUUUAAAAAAAAUCUAUAGUUGUGUAUAGAAAAAAAAACUGGACAUUGUCAUUUUGUGCCAAUUUUAAUUCAAGAAAUUUGGGUAUUAAUUCACUUGAUUUUUAGUUCAAACUUAUAUUUAAAAAUUACCAAACUCGUUAAUGAAUCAAAUGUAUUAAGUAUCAUUUUAGUUUGCCUAAUGAGAAAUUCAAGAGAGUUUAAAAACCCAUUGUGGAAACUAUAAAUCUUUAGUCCAUGCUUAAACAAGGGUAGUACUUUCAUGAGUGAACGUAGGUUUACUCAUGCCUAAGUUCUAAUCAACUUCUCUUAGUUGCCUUGAAUUUUGUUAUUAGGUAAAUGGAAUUUAAGGGUCUAUUUAGUUGGUGUUAUCGAAAAUAGUUUAGGAAUAGUCUUUUCUAUUUUUAGAAAUAAAAUUGUAUUUGAGAACUAAAUUUUAAAAAAUAAAUUUUUUUUAAAAAAAAUAUAUGCUUGGUUAAGUUAAUAAAAACAAUUUUUUAAAAUAAGUAAAAUAAAAAAACUUGUUUGGAAAUUGCAUUAAAAAAAAAAGAGUGUUUUCUUCAAUAACUUGAUAUUGUAGAUAUAUAAAUAAUUUUUAGAUUUACACUUCAUUAAAAUAAAAAAAUUAUUCCAUUUUGAAAAUUAUUUGUAUCCGUGUUAAUUUUUAUUAAACGAAUAAUUAAUUUGUAAACAUGUCUAACAAUAUUUGAUUUCGAUAAUACUUUUAUUCAUACAUAUGGUAAACUCCUUAAUUAUUUUGAAACUUUUUUUUUUUAAAUUAUAAAUGCAUCAUAUUUAGACAUGUUUUCAUUAAAAAAAAAAAAAACUCAUCUAAAUUAUAUGCAUAUUAAUGCAAUCAAUAUUAAUACAAAUAAAGACUAUAAGCAUUUAGAUACCAACAUCAUAUUUUAAUAUAAUAUAUUAAAGUCCCUGAAUUUAUAGAUGAUAGUUUUUUAGAUAAUAUAUACAUUCACUUAAUAAAUAAAAUAAGAAGAAAGACGAUGAAUAAUGAAGAACAAGUAACGAUGUUACACCCACAACAACUAAUAAAUAGAAGACGACUUUAAGGAUUUAUUAUAAACAUUGAAUGUCAUAACUCAUAAGUUGACAACUAGAUGUUGAGAAUCAUACCCGUCAACUCAUAUAAAGCAAUGCAAAUAUCCCUACAAUAUAAAAAUUGUUAAAAAGAAUGAAAUGUAAUGUAUGUAUUUCAUUGAUAUCAAUUUAUUUUCUAGUUAGUUAAAUAUACUUAUAUGAUAUAAUGGACAACAAUAAAACCAAUCACCAUUGUUCUUUUGUGUUUUUGACAUAAAAAUGCGCAUACGUCCACACUCAUAGUAACACAUGAAUCAUUUUGUUCAUCCUACUUUUAUAAUUAUAAAUCAAAUUUAUAAGCAAUUUGAUCAUUAGAAAUUAUAAUAUACAUCACAUAACAAUAAUGACAACUAGUUAACAAAUAUAUAUAAAUUUUAAUAUAUAAUUGAAGUAUAAACAAAUAUUUAGAAUUAAAAAUAAUGCAAGUCAUGGAUUAACAUUGAUAUAAUUUGCCUAUAUCACUUAGCAAUUUGAUCUCUACAUGCUAUAGCUACGACACUCUCAUCUAAUAAAUCAAUUGAGUGGCUUGUAUAAUUGGCUUAUAAUGAGACAUAAUCCUUAAUAUCGAAAAUUGUGUCUUUAAAACAUCAAUACACCUUUCAAUAAUAUUCUGAAUGAAUGAAUCUCUAUAAUUAAAAAGUUCUUUAUAUUAGGUUUGUUAUGUUUACCCCAAUAUUCUUGUAAAUAAUAUUACUCACCUCAAUAUGGUGGUAAAAAUUCAGAUGUACAAGAAUAACCAAAAUCAACUAAAUAAUAUUUUCCUUCACUUGGCGAAGGAAAAUGGACUUCUAGUCUAGUCAAUGCAUCCAAAAAAAUACAUGCAUUAUUCGUUGUUUCUUCAUAAGUGGUAUAAACAAAUAUGAACAUCAUGCCAAAACCACAUGUACACAUAACAUUUUGUAUUAUAACUGUUUUUUUACGCUUAAACUUAGUGUAGACCCCCUCAGCUAGGGGCAUGGGCGGGUUUUUAUUUUUAUUCAUUUUUUUUCUUCUUCUUUUCGGCUUUCUUGAUCCACCCGAGGGCGGCUGGAAGUGAGAGGGGGGAGAAAGAGCUAUCCUUAGGCGGCUGUAGGGAGCAGGAACAGGGGAGCAGGUGCUUGAUUUUCGGAUCUGGGGAAAAAGAAAGGAGAGGGCGUUCCAAAGAGGGGGGUGGCGGAGGAGAAGCGGGAAGUCCAUUUCACCAUUUUUUUUUCUGAUUCCAGGUAUGACUUCAAUCCGCUUUGCGCUUCUCGUUAUGAACUGUUCUUUUCUGUUUCUCAUUGUUCAUGGUUCAUGAUGCUUGAAGACUACAUGCAUUUCUCUGUUCUGGAACGCUUCAAAUAAAGAUCCAUUGCUGCUCUUGUUUUUUUUUUUAAAUAAAUCUUCACAGUCUCACCUUUCUCUCAUUUUUCUCUCCUUUUCUCUCUGCCCAAACAUCCUUUCCCGUGGUUCUCUUCUUUUUUUCUUUUUUUUUCUUUCUUUUUCUUUCCUUCUCUCUCCGUCUCCAUGGAAAGCCACUCACCUGCUCAAACACUUCUACCCCCCACCAACACCAGUUUUCUUCUCUAAACCAUCACCCUCAUUUCCCACCUGCAUGCAUGGAGCUUUACAUGCAUGGCCUUCUCCCUCUCCACCUUUAUUUCUCAUUAUUUCUUUCCAACACCGAACCCACCACCUGCACCAUCAUCCAAACCGCCACUAGUGUCACCACCUAAGCUGCUAUCCGCUUCGCGUUUUGCCAUCGCGGGAGGAGGUUUUCUGAAGCUUUACUACCCUGGCAAUGUGUGCCCGUAAUCCUGGGAAGAAGUUUGCAAAGAGGAUGACCCGCGCGCCCCCGUUCAAGGACGUGUUCGAUUCACUGGUUUCCUUGGCAAUGUCGGCGCCAGCUGUAGCUCUCGGUAUGCCGCCCCUAAAUCCUGUGCAGAUUGGUACAAUCGAUGGUACCGGCUCCGCCGCGGUCACGACUGGUUGGUGCGUAGAGAGGUUCUUGGCGACCUUUGGCUGGAAGGGCAUUCGGGCGUGUGCAUGUGGGGCAUCCAGCCCGCCUGCCACCGUUCCUAGUCGGGCAUCAGAAGUUGGCCUGAAGUGAUUUGGGCUGGGACGUGUUUCUUCAGGCGAGAAAUGCAAUGGGAAGCCAAAAUUGCAACUAUGUGGGAUUAUGUUUGGGCUUCCCAUUACACAUUCUGGGCAUUCAAGGCCCAUGGGUUUUCUUAAAUAAAAUAAAAUAUUCUUCCCACCCUAGGCCCAUUAAAGGGCUCAAUUUGAGCAGCCAUUGUCUAAGUCCAUUUAUUAUUAUUAUUAUUAUUACUUGAAUCUUCAAAUUCAAUUUUUAUUAUUAUUAUUACUAUUAUUAUUAUUAACUCAACUUUUAAAAUCUAUAGUCUAAUUUCCUAAAGUUCAUUUAUUAUUAUUGUUAUCACUUAAAUCUUCAAAUUCAAUUUAUUAUUAUUAUUAUUAUUGUUAUUAUUAUUAGUAUUAUUAUUAUUAUUAACUCAACUUUUAAAAUCUAUAGUCUAAUUUCCUAAAGUUCAUUUAUUAUUAUUGUUAUUACUUAAAUCUUCAAAUUCAAUUUUUUAUUAUUAUUAUUAUUAUUAUUAUUAUUAUUAUUAGUAUUAUCAUUAUUAAUAACUCAACUUUUAAAAUCUAUAGUCUAAUUUCCUAAAGUUCAUUUAUUAUUAUUGUUAUUACUUAAAUCUUCAAAUUCAAUUUUUUAUUAUUACUUAGUAUUAUUAUUAUUAUUAACUCAACUUUCAAAAUCUAUUCAUUUCUUAUUAUUACUAUUAUUAUUAUUAUUAUUAAAAUUUAUAUUCCCGUAGUUUAAUUUCCUAAGGUUCAUCUCUUAUUAUUAUUAUUAUUAUUAUUAAUUCAAAAUCUAUAUUCUCGUAGUUUAAUUUUCUUGAAGUUCGUUUCUUAUUAUUAUUAUUAUUAUUAUAUAAUUAUUAUUAUUAUUAUUAUUAUUAUUAUUAAAAAUCUAUGUUCCCGCAGUUUAGUUUCUUAAAGUUCAAUUCUCAUUCACACUUUCAAUAUCUAUUUAUUAUUAUUAUCAUCAUCAUUAAUCCAAACUCUCAAGAAUCUCAUUAUUAUUAUUUUUAUUACCUCAACUUUCAAAAUCUAUUUAUUAUUAUUAUUGUCAUCAUUAAUCCAAACUUUCAAAAAUCUCAUUAUUAUUAUCAUUAUUACCUCAACUUUCAAAAUCUAUUUAUUAUUAUUAUUAUUAUCAUUAAUCCAAGCUUUCAAAAUCCUAUUAUUAUUAUUACUAACCCAACUUUCAAAAAUCUCAUUAUUGUUAUUAUUAUUAUUACCUCAACUUUCAAAAUCUAUUUAUUAUUAUUAUUAUCAUUAAUCCAAACUUCCAAAAAUCUCAUUAUUAUCAUUAUCAUUAAUUCAACUUUCAACAUCUAUUUAUUAUUAUUAUUAUCAUCAUUAAUCCAAACUCUCAAAAUCUUAUUAUUAUCAUUAUUGUUAACUCAACUUUCAAAAUCUAUUUAUUAUUAUUAUUAUUAUCAUUAAUCCAAAUUCUCAAAAUCUUAUUAUUAUUAUUAUUAUUAAUUCACAUUUUCAAAAAUCUUAUUAUUGUUAUUAUUGUCAUUAAUUCAGACUUUCGAAAUCUUAUAAUAAUUAUUAUUAUUAAUUCAACCUCUCAAGAUCCCAUUACUAUCAUUAUUAUAAAUUCAACUUUCAAAAGUCUAUGGUCUCGUAGUUCAAUUUCCUAAAGUCCGUUUCUCAUUUUCUUUAACAAAUUUUGAUUUAAUCACCGGAGCUCUAAUCUUCAAAAUGUAAUUCCAAAUACUCCAAUUUUCAAAUAAGCUCCAAUAAUUCAGUUUUCACUCGAAUAAUUUUUAAUCACAUUUCAGUUCCUAAAUAAUCUUCUGAUCUUCUUGAUUUUACAUAAGCAAUAGUGAUUCCUUCAUAAUUCUUAAACACGGGAUUUGUGAGAUUAGCUCAUGAGCAAUAAAUCGGGCUUUGUUGGGGCCCUAUGUUUAACCAUCUUUGACUGGCAAUUAUCGUGCUUACCGUAUUUUGCUUGAGCUCCGUUUUGCACUCCGAUAUGUAUGAGCUAUGUUUUGUAUUCAUUAAUUGUGCACUAAUCCCGUUUUUUUUUAUAGCGCAUUGUGGCUCGUGGCCGAGGUACACAUCCACUCCCUUUCUAGUCAAUCUCUAUUGCGUGUUUUGAUUCUCAUAUUGUGCAUGAUUUAGGUGGAUAUCCAUUGACUUUCUCGUUGAUUGCCACGUCAGUCUCAUUGUAUUAGUAGAGACCCGACUUUAGGGGCUUAGAGGGGUGCUACGGUCUUUACCGUACCUUCCCGAUGAGUAACCUGACCCCCGAACCCGAUCCGGUUUUUCACAGACCACCUUUUCCAAAACAAGGAGCCACACUUAGGGUUUUUCUUUCUUAUUUUGUUUACCCUUUUAAAAAUAAAACAAAAAUAAGUGGCGACUCCAAGUCAUUUUUCAAACAAUAAAGAUCAAUUUUUCGAAAUCAAAAUCGAGUUUCGCCAUCGAGUGGGAAACGCAUGAGCCGAAAUGCGGGGUCCACACUUAGUUUAUCCAUCAAUUGGGAGUCUUGUGCUAAUAUAGGUGUCAUCAAUUGCAACAAUACAAUCCUACAACAAAAUAUAUUUAUUAUCAUUAAGUAAAGAAAACAAUGGCCAUGAAAACUUCUUAUGUACACAAUGUUCAAAUUUAUAAAUAUUAUUUAUAAAAUCUUACGUUUAAUCAUAGAAAAUUUCUCUACCUAAAGCCCAAUAUAUUAUCUCUUUCACUCUUUUUGUUCAUAGUUCUAGAAGUUAAUCCCAAACAAUGAGUUUCCUAAUUUUAAUUAGACUCAAAAAUAGUAAUUUAACCAUUCAAAAAUAAAAAUAAAUAAUUUGAGUGAAAAUUACAAAAGGCCUAGCUGUAGUGUUAUGAUUCAAAUAAUUUGGAAUAGGAAUGCAAAGGCCAUUUCUCUUCAUCUGCAAAGCUCCAUUCCCUGAAGCUUAAAUGAUAAUUCUCACAAAUUAAAAAGGCCUUGUAGAGUUAAAAUUUGCUCUUCAUCUGCAAAGCUCCAUUCCCCUAAGCCUAAAUGAUAAGUCUCACAAAUUAAAAAGGCCUUGUAGAGUUGAAAGUGAAUUACAAAUUUACAUUUAUUUAUUUAUUUAUUUAUUUAUUUUUGACAGAGUUGCAAUCAUUCAACAUCAUCUUCCUCGUUAAAUUAUAUGAAGUUAAGGUGAUAUUUGUUUUUUAAAAUUAAUAUUGAAUGUAAUUUGCUUUUAGACGGUUUGUUUUUAUUUUUUCAACUUAUUACUUAUUUUUUAAUUUUUUUUAACUCAAUAGAAAAAGUCAAGGGAUUUUUUGCCCAAUACUAAAAAUAACUUUUUAAAAACACAAUCUCAACAUUGCCUUGGUCUUAUUAAUACUUAAUACUUAAUAGAAAUAAAAUAAUGAAAAAACAAACAACUCAAUACUUGAUACUAUUAAGUUAUUUUUAAAGUUAAAUUAAGUUUUAUUUAGAUUUAAACAAUAAAUAAAUAAAUAAACAAACAUCACUUUUAAGUGUCCAACCAAAUUAAGACUUGAAAACUAAAAUAUUGCAGAUUCACAGCCACCACCGCCGCCGCCGCCGCCCCCCCUUGGAUAUUUUCAAUUUGAUAAACACAACACAAAUCAAGAAAAAUUCAACCAACUUUUCCAAACCCUUGGCAUUCAUUUGAUUCAAAUGCAAUCAGAAGUGACACAACUUCACCACACAACACAACACAACACUUUGAGCUUCCUUGUGGUGCAAAUGGCAUUAGAACAGCCCCAACAGGGCUUCUAUUUCACCACAAGGAAGCCCAAGUGUCGUAUCCCGAUCCCCUCUAAUCUUAUACUACUCCCUACCAUACAAAUUCUAAGAAGUCUUUCACAAUCUUUAAACACAAUUAAAACAAAAAACCCGAUUUAGAGGUCUAAUUAUCAAUAAUAUAAAGAUCAGGACAUAUGAAUAACAAGUUUAAUCCACAUUAUCCUACUAUGAAUAAUGGAAGUGUCGUCAGUUUUCCAACCCCAUACUAUGACCAAAUUUAUUAUCAGGAUUUGGUUUUGAAAGAAAAAUUGCACCAACUCAUUUCUGAAGUAAGAAGCUCCAAAUAAGGGAAGAGGCUACACUGCAUUCAUUUACUGUCUACUUAAGAUCAUUCUAUAUGAGAAUAUAAGUGAUGUUUGUGGAAGACAAUAAGCUAGAUUUGAUCAAAAUUUUGGAGUGGUUUUUUCAGUCAAACAUGUUGCUUUCAUUUUUGAUCUCCAAGAAACAGUUCUGUUUGCACUUUCUAUAUGAAUCCGAGGCAAAUAAAUCAGAAUCCCUACUUUUGAAAUUGAAAUAUUCUUAUUCAGUCUACACUGUUCUUUUUGAUACCUUAAAAUAUUUCACCUGAGGUCUGUAUACAUCGAUCUUUUCUGAGAGGCUAUGCUGUGAUCUGAAUUUUCUUUGUUGUCAAAAUUGAGGUUUCAUGGCCUUUAUCCUUUUCAACCAUAGCCUAUCUAUUGUGUGUCCCACCGGGGAAGGUUCGCAGUUGCUUCGUUCACCAUCUUCACAAGAGUCACCUGCAAAUGUGAAAACAAAUAGAGUCUUAUCAUGAUUUCCAUCAUAAUGUGCAUAGAAUGAAUUCAUAAUUGGACAGUGCGAGUAAAGAUCCCAAAACACAGUAAAGAUGAGCAUAAUAAUAUGCCUGAGUUUAAAUAACCCCCUUGAUCCUCCUCUUACACAAACUCUAAAUGGAGGAAUCAUAUUUUUUGUACUUUGUCCCGAUGCUCAUCCUAAUACGAACAGGGUUCUAAAUAAACUCCUUUCACUUUAUUGUGAUACCUUCCAAUAGCACCAUUCAUAUUUCAUCAAGUUGCUCGACUUCUAUAGCCAUGCACUUGUGGCAAUGUGGCUAAACCAAACACGGUCUAAAUGGAUGAUAUCUUUGCAGAAAGGGAAAAUUUUGUCAAAGUCAACUGUUCUUCAAGGAAUCCAUCCUCCAAACCAAUUUAUCUAUUAAUUUUUUUUUUAAUACAGAAAAAUUCAAAGAUUAUUGUUCCCUUGAAUUUUCUAGCUCAGAUUCAUCUUUUGAACAAAACAUGCUCCAAAAAGGAACACUAAGUAGUAGGCAGUUUAACUGAUCCAGUGAUGGAUCUUCUCAGGCAAAUCAGUCCUCUUAUUCCACAAAAUUAGCAUUGCUUAAAACUAUCAAAUGGCUCAUUGUUUUCACAACAUAUUUCCACCAGCCUUCUUGUCCAAUUAAGUUAUUCAUGAUAUGGCUUUUUUAAUAACUCAAAAAUCCACCAGUCCUGCUUGCAAGACCAGGGAAAUGCACAGAUACAGAAACCACACCCUAAGAACUAUACGUUACUUCUCCUACAUGUGUGCUUGACAUCAGUAUGGUGCCAGCCUGACAAAGAUUCUAUGCUUUUGUUCAUUCCUUGAGAAGUGAGAGGUGAGAAUUCUCCCUCUAGUAUGAGAAGUGAGAAUAUGCUACCUAUUGGGUAAGGAAUAAGAGGUGCAUAUACCUCUUAUUGCAUGAUAUACAAAUGACACUCCCUGCCAGUGAAUUAUGUGGUAGCUUGCAUGUAAAUGAUGUGCUAGUGAACUCUAGAGAUGCCAUGUGGUCUCAAUGAUAAGAGCGGCUCCCCAGAUGAAGUUUUGUUUGCUAUUGGUAUGAAGAGUUUGGGACUCUCAACUUGUUAUUUCUCCAUGAGGUCUCAAGCUCACCUUUCUCAGCUUGUCCUGAGCUCUAUAAGGUGUCAAGCUGUUGUAGCUCCAAGAAUCAAGCUUGUUAAUAAAAGAACAGAGAGCUGAGUGUGCAGCAGCAUGCAGCAGUGUGCAGCAGCGUGCUCCAUGCACAGAAUCCAUGGAGACCUUAAAGCCUUUCUUGUUCUUAGCUCUAAUUUCUUCUGUAGCUCUUUGUUUCAAUUAAAGCUCUCUUCAUCUAGUUUGAAGUUUGAACCCAUCUGAUAUACAGAGGAAUAAGACAGACAUAUUCCCGAACUCUUCAUACAACCGCCAAAUAAAACUUGUUUCAUGAAUUAUCCUUAGCAGGAAAAGCACAUGGCAGCACUGCAACUCACUAGCACACCAUUUAUAAACAAGCUACCACAAACUAGGCAAGAGGAUGUGAUAUUUGUACAUGACGGAAAAGGGGUGCAAAUGCCUUCAUUUCUUACCCAAUAAGCAAUAGAUUCUCACUUCUCAUACUUAUGAAGAGCUUUCCUCCUCUAACCUUUACUUUCUUGGGAAAUUAACAAAAUCUAGCUGACGUGCAAGGGAAGCAAUCAAAUCAGUUUCUAAGUCUGGCCCAAAGAUCAGAAGCCUCAACUACUAAAAAGUCCUCUAGAACAACAAAGCUUUUGAUUUAGUAAUAGGCAAGUGAUCACCUUAGGAUGAUUUCCCAAAUCCAUAGGUUGAUCAAAAUUUUUUUCUUUAAUGUGGCGUAACCAAUAAAUAAAUGCAAAAACAAACAGGUUACCCUUUUCAUAUGGUUUUUGAGAUUUCUUGCGUUGUGAGCAUGGCAAUGAUCCCAUGCACUUCAUUUCAUAAAAUUUCUUAAAAAUGAAAAACAUUAGUAUCUUACAUGUCUAUAAAAAUCGAAGCACUAAAAUGACAAUCUAAAACAACAUUAAAGCCUACUGAAGACAAUAAAGAAAAAAGAACAAUGCACAACAAGAUUAAUGUGCUUCAGAAAACCCAAAGUUGUGGAAUAAAAUCCUGCCACACCCUUCCCAAUGACAUAGUGAAAAGGAGGAUAUGAAAGGCUAAUCAACCCAAGCACCAAUAGUAAAAGAAUUUGGGCCUCAAAAAAUUGGGCCCAAAAAAUCCAACAUGGUCAUACUAAAAUCUCUCUCAAAUUUUGCUCAUAAGGUUGAUAACGAUACUUUGCAACCCUAGAUAUCCUUAUUCUUACAUGUAGUGAGCAAGAUGUUUUUCUCUAUUUCCCUAGCAUUGUCUUAGUCCUUGAACAACUAACUAAAGGCCCAUUUAGAUAGCUUUCCUAUUUUUGAAUUUAGCUUAACACUUAAGUUAAAGCCAAAAUCAAAACUUCAAAAAGGUAACACUGAAAUAGCUUCCUGCAUAAGCCAAUAGAGUUUUUUUUUUUUAAAAAAAAAAAAAAAAAAGUACCCAGUUUUUCUAAUUUCCUUAUCAAACUCUUUUCAAGUCGUAAGCUCUUUCAACAAAAUUAACUAACUAAAAAGGGUAGGAGCUCUUAUUAAGCUUACAAAAACUAAUCCAAACAAGGCUUAGAUAAGGUAAUGGUUGGCAACUUGGUACUACUUGAUACUAACCUCAUUGAUACCCAUCAUAAAGUCUUUGCUGAAGAUGAUUAAUGACAUGAGAAUUUCUCAUACAAUGUAUGGACCAUAUGGCUACAUUGCAUUGUGUUUAAGGUUGGUAAGAUAUCAACCAAAACAUUGUUAGGCAACAAGAUGCAAUCUAUUUUCCUGCUUUCCAUCUUUCUCCUUCCUAAUUUUCUUCUUCUAUCAAAAACUACUUAUGACAUCUUAGGAGCCUACUUUGCCUCAAUGUGCAUCACAUCACUGAACAAAUCUGCCGAAGUACCAUGAUGGGAGGGAUUUCACAUGUACAAAUGAGCAUUCCAUGAGAAAAGCUCCAUAAGAACAAGGAAAUAUAAAUAGUAAUACCAAAAAAGAAAAUUUCUUUGUUCUCCAGCCGAUAAUAAUGAACAUAAAAUAAAGUUAAAACACCCUUGUUAGGCUCCCAUUAACAGGGAUGAUAGAGGAAAGGGAGAAAAAACAUAGCUAAAAGAAAACAAGACAAGAAAAAUUAGUAUUAGAAAAUGAAAUUUUCAUUUGAUGGUUAACCCAAAACAACUAUACUAUGAAGAUAGAAAUCAAAAAGUUAAAACACACUUGUUAGGCUCCCACUAACAGGGAUGCUAGAGGAAAGGGAAAAAAACAUAGCCAAAAUAAAACAUGAGAAGAAAAAUUAGUAUUAGAAGAUGAAAUUUUCAUUAGAUGGUUAACAGCAAACAACCAUACUAUGAAGAUAAAAAUCAAAUACCAGCAGUAUAAACAAUUGCCAGUGGAAUCUGACUUCAAUUGUAAGUAGACAGCAUACAUGGGAACAAUGUAUAUGAAAUGUGAAGGAGUCACCAUGAACAUACCACACUUUCAGGAACCCCUGGAGGCGGCAAGGAAAGGUUUCUAGGAGGAGGUCCACGUAGGUAUGAUCUCUUGUCAAAUCGCCACUCUCCAAUUUUCCCAUAUGUCAGCUCACCCUGAAUAUCAAGAAACUUUGAACAGAUAACCACAGAACCAAUACCACAAAAUGCGAACUUAGGGAUACCCAAACAUAACGAUGAUAAGAGCCAGUAAUAGAUAAAAUAGUGAGAAUAUUAGAAGGAAUAAUGUCCAAGCCCAGGAAAAGAAAAAGCAUGCUUGAAGAAUCGAGAAGAACAACAAAUAAGAUGAGAUACACAGUUGUAGUUGGCUAUGAGCUUCUCAUAAUAUGAGGAAAUGGGAUGGAAGAAGGUACUUUACCUUUAAGUUGUAGUCACAUCCAUAAGUGUAGUGAAUAAUAAACUUCUUUGCAGUUUCUAAAUCCCAUGGUGGCUGAAAAUUUAAAAUUACAAGGACUCUUCAAUAUCAUCUUCUAUAUACAUGUACUAAUGUUGUCUCUGCUGGAUAAUGCAAAAUACUUGGAACAUAGACUAUAUCAUCAAAAUUUAAAAUAUUAGAUGCCAAACCUGCAACAUAAAGUCCUUCUGAAGAAUAUGCUGCACGCCAUGCAAGGCAGAUGCUACUGCAUAUGCAUACCUUUGUUCAAGAAAGGAAAAAAAAAAAAAAAAGGUUGUUACUAACACCAAAAUGUGCUAGAAUUAGCUGGAAUACCAGGGAAAAAAAAGGCUGUUUCCAUGUGGAAUUUUGUCUCACAUUUCUAGCACCCAUCCAAAUACUUUAUCAGUUUCUGGGUCAUCUUUCAUUCUCAAAGAAACAUUCAUCCAUGUAGGCGCAAUCUUCUCCAACAACUCCUGCACGGGACAAUUAAGUAAACCAAAAUGUAAUUCACAUUUUUACAGAAAAAAAAAUGAGGGAGCAAAAAAAUAAAGAAAGAAAGUGCGGCUUUUGGAUGUAGAGACACUGUAAUAAUAAUUAUAAAUUAAAAUGAUAAUAAUAAAUAGUGAGAGUAGAAGUCGAUUGGUUCCUAGUUGAGGGCCCAAAACACAUCUUUCUCCCUUUUAUUCCAUUAAACCUAACUUAUAUCAAUUUAAAUUAAAAGGGUAAUAUAGUCAGUGAAAAUUUCAAUAUUAUAUUACUUAUUUCAAAUUGGCCAAACCACAUCACUCUAGCACCACAACUUAAAUAUUCCUCUCCAACCCACCAAUGGCUAGUUUAUAGUUGGAACAUGCAAGUAUCACCUGUGCCACCACUAAAAGUAAGAACAAAGUAGAAGGCUAGCAUCAUCAUCAUCUGAUCAUAAUUUUAAAUAACUAGCAUAAAAGGGAUAUAAAUGUUUCAAUAAUUAAAUGGCCCACCAUUGAAGAUAAAAUCAGGUAUCAGUAGGUAACCUAGCAACAAGAAACUUUACCCUCUUGAUAAUUACAGGAGAGUUGCCAAUUGGAUCAACAUUUGUCACAGGGCCAUGUUCCUCAGGAUAGAACUUCCUUAUUAUUUUUUCAUUUUGAACAGGCUUAAUGUAGAAAAAGGGAUAGGCAGCUGGAUAGUCUCCAUGUGCCAAAUUAGGCAGGGGCUUUAUAAAUAUGUGAUCAGGCUCUGCCAUCAGUAUGUAUCUGCAGCAGUAAGAGUAAAUAAGCUUUAGUAUCUGUUCAGAGUCAAAUGCAACCGAGUUCCAGGUCAACAAAUAUAUAGAAACUCACUCUUCCUCAAUUGUAGCCUUUUCCAGCCAUUGCACAAAGGCCCAUGGUCUGUUUAGGACAAUGUAUCCCUGGAUACAGCAUUUGUAAACCAUGUCACGAAAGAAACAGUAAAUCUAAUAUCUUAAUAAUUUAAGAGACAGACUAACAAUUAUCAUUAGCGUACAUCUGAUUAAAGGAGAAUAAGAACAGCAGAAAGAACAUCUAAUAAUUUGCCAGCCUAGAGGUAACCUGGACAUAUUCUGGCUCUUAUUGGCUAACUUAGAAGCAGAGGAUUAACACUCAACUUCUGUUUGAACUCCAGAUACUUCAUGGAAAUUACUUAAAUUGGAGUUUACAACAUCUUAAAAAAAUUGUAAAGAUUCAAGGUUUUAGCCAUGAAAUCUCAAUUAAAGAAAUCUCAAUUGAAGUUUGGCCGCUUUAGAGUGAAACAUAAUGAGUUGAUGUUAAAGCCAUGGUCAUAAGGAAUGCCACCAUAAAUAACAUUCAUUGAGAGACAAAUCAAAAGGCUGAAAGUAUAUAGAAUUCCUGCAAUUAUCUGUCUUAUGUAAAAUGAACUAUCAGGAGCAGGCACUGUGGAAAUAUUUUAAAGAAAUCCUGAAAUGUAAGAACUUUUUCCACAAUGUGUGGUACACAGUCAACUCAACUCAACCAAGUCUUAUCCAGUACCUUGUGUUCUGGUGUAUUAUCCAAUACUUACCAAACCAUUCAAGAAUACAAAUGUCGGAAUGACAACAUCUGCUCCCUGAUGACAUUGAUUUCCCCAUUUAGAUUGUCAUGUUGGGAUUUUAUUUGACAAACUCCACAUAACCUAGUCAGUGCAUACCACCCAUCCAGUUUGCAAUGUCUACACAUCAUUAUGACCAGACCAUCAUCCAUGCUAUAUUCUGCAACCUAAGUGCUAGGUAGAUAAGACAGUUCUCCACUAGAAUGGCACCAAGUGUCCUUUCCCUCCUGCUGGAUGCACUAAGUGGCCAACUCCAUAUUUCUUCUUGUGUUUAUCACCUCCCUAUCGCCUCUUGAGUCACAAUGCUAACCAUUUAGGUACAAAUUUCUACCUAUGAAUGGAUGCCUGAAUAUUUCAAAUAUCCAUGAGAUAUGGAGGCCCACUCAAAGUGGAUGGUAAGGAGUCCAUGGAUUUAGAAGGAAAUACUGUUUCAUUCCUAUGAACCUUGAGUAGCUUAGGCAUGGGAGAGCAUUUUAGAAGUAGCCUAGGGAUCUUGCUUUAAUGACUAGAGUUAGAGAUCCAUCAAGAAGCGAUUAACAUGAAUCAAGCCUAUUCCAGCCUGCAUAAGUAGGAGAAAUAAUCCACCAAUAUCUACAAGACAUGCUACCAUCAGAAAUGUCCAUGUCAUCACACGGGGAUUCAUGGGAGUCACUGUUUACAAGCACUAUAAAAAGGCUUAAUGUUUUAUGGCAAAUGAGUAACAGAACUCAACCUUGCUAUCCUAGAUAUCAAUAUUAUCUUUUAAUCUGCUGAUGAUUGUGAGUUUCUCAAAAUGGAGCACCCUCACUAUACACUCCUCAGUCCUCUCCUUUCUCCUCUCAAACUUUGACAGAUCAUUGCCUAACAUGGUUGACCUCCUCUAACCAAGAACCCAACACAAUAUUUUGGUGCUUCCCUGGGAAGUUAGUAUAAUAAGAUGGUGACACAGGAAAGGGUCCAGUAAGUCUUGUCCACCUCUACCUUGCACAUUUGACCACAAAGAGCUCCUAGUUGCACUAAUUCCAACUCUCAUCUCUCAAGCACAAACCCCACCCAAACAACUUCUAACUUCUUUUACAAAUUUAUUCCUGAAUUCUACAUAUUAUUCUAUGUGCCUAACAAUUCUUCAAUCACAAAUCUAAAGCUAGGAAUUGAGCUUUUGCAUGAGAAAAUAACAGUAACCAGGUAAAGAAAAACAUAUAGAAUAAUGUGUUCCUAGUUACAUGGAGCUUGCUUGCAAUUUUCCAACAACCUAAAAGAAUGCCGUUAUACAACAAAGAAUAUAAGAAGCAAAGAUGUAUAAUAACAGAAGAAGAUUUCUCACCCGAUCCAAACCUGCAGGAAGAGGAUCAACCACAAAAGUAGGAAUCUCUUCCAUCAGGUUAUCAGGACUUCCUGAAUGCAGAAUCCUUGUAAAUCCUCCCAUCUCUGAUCCAGGCAAGUCCUUUUUCUUCUUGUACCAGUAGUACAUUAUGCGACACUGCCAUUUGCUGUAAGGAGCAUCAGUUGCUGUUAGGGCAAUGUGGAAGGGCAACUUGGCAUUUUUUGGUUUUCUCACAUUCUCAGGCAUCUCUAUAAUUGGAUCAGAUAAUAAGCGAUGGUCUGAUUCAUCAACAACCAAUGUCCCCGUAGCUCUAUUAUGAAUUGUCAUUGUUAACAAGUUGUAUGUCGCAAAGAAAAACCCAAGAGACAAAACAACCAGAAACAGUGGUGAGAUACGUGCCAUGGCCUUCCUCACAAUCAUUUUUUUAUCAUAAAGGAAACAGAAUUCUAAUCCUCAGAGCCAAACAAACCAAUUCUCCUACUUGAAACAACUAAUGAAGAAAACCAUUAGCUUGAUGACACUCCUCCAGUUCACCAGUCCAUGAUAUCAUGGAGCCACAGUUUUAAAAUCUGAUUUAUAUGGGAGAACUUCCAAGCACUUUUUCAAGAUAAAUGAACAAAAAAGAAAGCUUUAACAAGCUAUCUGCAAAAGAAAAUAAUAAGGAUGGGUAUCAAUAAUAAGGAAGAAGAUCAAAUUAAGAUAUGCAAGGUGUAUGUCAAUAAAGGCAGAAUUUUUCAAACUACAAUGAUUCAAAAUUCUCAUAAUUCAUAUAUAAGAUGUUCAAAAUGAAGUCAUUAACCCAAAACUCAUUCCAAUGCAACAGUAUUUAUUAACAGAAUUUUAUGCAUAUGCCUAAAAACCAAUUUUUUAAAAGAUGGCUGCAAAAAUUCAAGCUCUAACAAAUACUUUUCAUAAUCAUAGUGACACAGGAGUGUACUUCUACAUGGUCCAAGAAUCUGAGUCAAAGGGGCUUCAGAUUCUCACAUUAAUUUCCUAAGCUUCAACCAAAUUAGAACCAGAUUUUGAGAAAUCUUUUGGAGUAAAGCUGGUGUUGAUCUGGCAGAUUUUUGGUAAAAUGGUUCUACUUCAUUCAAGUCAACUGGGAAUUCCUAUUUUUACCUCUCCUUUUCUUACUUUCAUUAAUUUCCUAGGUGAAAUUGCAGUCCAUCAGUAAGUCCUUAAGAUGUGAUCUAUUUUUCAGUUAGAAAGCUUCUUGGAAUUCACCUAGUUAGUUAGUUUGGUGUUGAGAAUGUAAGUUAGCUGCUUUGGAAGCCUAUGCUUGGAGGGUUGUUCCAAGUGUAAGCUAAAUAAGUCUUUUGAAUUGUAUGGGAGGGAGUUUUUUGCUGCUUGAAAAGAAGAUAUCUUCAGUUCAACAGAGAGUACUUUUCUCAAAGAACUCUGUAUCUCUUAGGUGGAUUCUAUUGACUGGUGGGUUCCAGAUUUUCAAUGGACUCAAAGGGUGGUGAUUUCCAUAUCCCUGGGGAGUUCAUUGUAAUCUUAUCCUCUGUUUUCUCCAUCAUUCUGGUAUCACAUAGGGACAAGAUAUCCAUGUGAUGCAGAUUAAUUUAAGGUACACAAGAUUCACAGAAAAGAACAUGAAAGGAAAUUUCAGACCAUAUCUGUUCAAAAUGCUCAUUAAACCUACAAAAUUAAUAGCAAUUCCCCAGUAUACAGCAUAACAUGGAAGCAAUUAUAAGAAUACUAGUUCUAUAUGAACAACUUUAGAAAGAAAAUUUCCAGGAGAUAACACAGAAAAACAUAAGCUCUGAGAAAAACCUACACAAAGAUAAGGGAAAAUUUUCUAUGUGAUGAAGGACUAAGGUCAAGUUGAGGUGAACAAAGUUCAUUAUACAUGCAAGAAAACUAAAACUAGAAUGAUGAAAAAAUUGUUUCAUAUUGAAGAGCAAAGUUAUCCAGAAUAAUUGACGGAACUCGUCAAAGGAUUCAAACCCAUAAAACCUUUUCCAAUUCUCUCACCCAGAACAUAACCUGAAGCACUAUCAAACAAUGUCUUCCUAUCAUACAAAGACUAAACAAUUUUUAAGCAGAUACCCAAAAGGUGCAACCUUGAACAAUGAAAAUGCAUUAAAAAUAAAAACCAAAAUAUCAAUGUGCUACAAUCCAAAAUGGAUCAACAAAAAAUGAAAUUCACAGAACUAACACUACGAGAUAAUUGUGAUUGAUCAGAUCAAACAAAACUCAAAAGAACAAGCCACCAAUCAUUACAAUUAUAGCAAUACGAAGAAGAAGAAGAACCAUGAAGGAUUGAUGAAUUCUGGGUCAAACAGAGAAGUGAGGUCAAUAUUUCCUCAAAAAUCCAAACUUGAGAACUUGGGUUUAGAAGUCUACCUGAACAGACCAAAUGGGCACCAAGAAAAAUAGAAAAAAGAGCUAGAACAACAAAAACUGGAGCAACUAGAGCCUAAAUAAACAUGGGGUUGACGCAGUGAUUAAAGAAGGAGUGAAGACGAGAGAGAAACAAAUGUAUGAGAGUUGUCAGCGAAUUAAGUGAAGGAGUUAAAGAAACAGGGCAGAAAAAUAAAUUUGGAAAUAUAGUUAUUGAGAUCAGAGGGACAGGGAGAGAGAGAGGCAGAGGCACAACCUGAAGGUGUCUGAACACAGCAGGAAAAGAGAGAAAAAGAGAGAGGAGAGUGUUUUUUGGAUCCGGAAUUCAUAUUUGAAAAGUAGGUCUUCUGCUUGAAGCUUUCUAAAGUCGUCCCUGUCCCUUUUCCCUUUACAGAAAUAUUUUACAUUUUCUUUUAUUUUAAAUUUUCAUUAAUUAAAUUUUUAUAUUUCUUUUAUUUUUAUCUGAAAUCAGAAUUCUGAACAUUCCAAUGCCUUUUACAUUUAUUUUUAAUUAAAAAAAUAAAAAUAAAAACUUCCUUAUUAAAAUCAAAAAUUUUUUUUUUUUUUUUUUCUAAUUUGACUUUAGCAUAUGCCAAAUGUCGGAACAUGGUGGAUGGCCACUAAGGAUAAGAAGCUCAUCAUUAGUAACGAUAACGAAUAAAACAAUAAUCAAGUCAAAACUGUUUGAUAAAUAAUUGAUUGUAAAAAGGGCAAGAAUAAUAUACAUGACCAAGGCCCCAAUCCAAAACUUUUUGGGCUUUCGAUUAGGCUGAAAUUUUAGGCCCUGUUUGGUUUGUGAAAUAGGAGGAAUGAGAAAAGUAAAUGUAAUAGGACUAUUCCAAUUUUUUAUGGUAAGCAAGUUAAGAGAAGACUAUUAUGGUCUAUUUGGAACUGUUUUUAAGAACAGUUUUUUGUUCUUUACAAUAAAAACCACAGAAAACAUUUUUGAUAAUAAAAAAUUAUUUAUAUUUUUUAUUCUUAAAAAUGGAAGGCAUAGUGUUUUUAAAAAAACGUCGUUUAGUUGUUGUUUUUUUGUUAUUUUCACUUAUUUUUUGAAGGUUAUUUAAAAAAAUAAUUAUAUAAGCAUGUAAAAUAAUUAAAAUAAAAUACUAGAUAUAAAAAUUAUUUUUAAAAUAUAUUUAAAAAUUAUUAAAAGGUUAAAAAUAUUUUAGGUUUUCAAACAGACUUCUCUUUUAUAAAAAUUAGAAACUAUUUUUAAAAAUUAUUUUUGAAAACAAUUAUCAACCAUGCCCUUAUAUUACAUUUAACAAUGAUUCUAGAAAGUAUUGCUAAUUUUUCUAAUAUUUAAAAAAUAAAAAUUUUCAAGUAUUAAAAAAAUUAAAAACAUUUUCUAAAAUUAUUAGCAAAUGCACUCUUAUUUUUAUUUAAGUGUUUGUAUGAUUUAUAAUUAAAAAUAAAAUAAUAAUUUAUAAAUAUUCUUUCAACUAAAUAAAAUCUAAUAUAUGGGUUUUUUUAAUAAAUAAAUGCUUAUAAAAUAAUUCUUGAUGUUUUUCCUAUAAAAUAUAUAUGUAGUUUAUAUUUAUUACAUUAUCUAAUAAUAGAAAAUAUUGUAUUUUUAAUCAAAUAAAUAAAUAAUUUCAAAAAAUACAUCGAUUAUAAUUAUUUUGAAAAUAUAUAAGAUAAAUAAUGAUUUUGUUUAUGUUUAAGUAAAGAGAUAUUGAUGUUGAAAAAAUAAAUAAUUUAUUAGAUUGUAAAAAUAUUGUUUUUAAGGUUAAAUUGAUAUAAAUGUUAACUAUUCAUAGGCUCAAAGGGUAUAUUAGUUAUUACUAGGUUGGAAUUAGUAAAAAACAUGGUAGGACACUUGUGGGAGAUCAUCUGUAGUUGGACAUAAUUUUUAAUUUCAAAAUAUUAAUUAAGGGAUAUUUAGUUGCUUAAAUAGGAUAUGAUAUAUAUAUUUUAGGAUAUCUUACCAUUUUUAAUGAAAUAUAAUAUUUUUAGAAAAUAUAUCCAAUAAAAAAGAUAUUAUACCUAAGAAGUAAUUUUUUUUUAAGGAAUGAAAAUAUGAUGUUAAAUAUAUAAAGAAAUUGUAUAUAUUAAAUAAUACAUAUAUUUUAUACCAUUUUUAUAUGAAUUUAAUUUUGGUUUAAUCAAUUUUUUUUUUUUUUUGGCAAAAACUUAAAAUAUUUCAUCUUUAUAUCUUUAGUACUAUCAUAUUAAAAAUAUAAAUGUAUUAAUAUUUUUUAUUUUAUUAAAUAAAAAUUUAUAAAAUUUAAUUAUUAAGAAGGUAAAUCAUAUAUCAAUUAGUGAAACAAAAUUUUAUUAUUUAUUUUAUUCACAUUUCAUUAACUUUAUAUAUAUAUAUAUUUUACAUUUCAUUAAUAUUUUAAUUUUAUGAUUUUGUGACUUGGUUUUGUAAAAUUCUAAUAGUAAAUAGUCAUUCUAUAUUUAUUGUAACCAUUAUCGAAUGCAAGAUGACUAAUAUUGAAUUCCAACUUCAACCUCAAAUUUGUUGAACAUCUAGACCCGCCUUCGAAGUUCAACAACAAUUAAGAUGGCAUUUCCAAAGCAUUCCUUUGGAAAUGCUCUGUUUUGUACGAAUAUAUAAGGUGUAAGAUGAGUUCCAAUUGUUUUUUCUCUAAUUGUUUUGUAUGAUAUGAUCUAUUUGGUAAACAACAAUUUUCCUUUGGAUACUAUUUUUUUUGUUAGAAAAUAUUUCAAGAAUAUUUUCAAAGUGUUAGUAAUUAUGACUCAAACUAUUUAUUUUUAUUUUUAUGAAAAUCAAUAUUUUUAUAGUUUAUAUUUGGGUAAAUUAUUGUUUUUGAGUUUGACUAGGAUUCAGAAAUUCAUUCUUUAGGGUUAGCCCGUGGGAUUUUGUAAAUAUAUAGCUUUAGAUAAAAUUUAAAGUGAGAGUUCAAAAAGGCAACUAUAAAAAAUGUCAAAGUCAUAAGAAGAGCCUAAAAAUAGGCAAUAGAUGUAUUGCAUGUGUUAAAUCAAAGCUUGAUUAAUCUCAAUUUUAAUGAUAAAAAAAAUAAUAAUAAGAUUUGAAUCUAAUGAUUAUAUUUAAGUGUGAAACACAAAAAGGUCUCUUAGGAAUCAUGAAGAAGAAUAUGCAUGAAGCAAACAAAGAAUUCAAGAAGAAUAAAAGAAAGUUUAUCAAGUUUAUCAUUAGAAUAUUUUAUGUAAGAUAAUGAGUGUAGAAAGUUAGGAUUAUAUAUUUUUGAAAGCAUCAAAACAUUCAUCCAUAAUUUUUUAAUUAGUUUUGCACUUUUAUAAUUUGGAUGAAAAUAUUUUUAAAGAUGAAAAGGCCUACUUGGACCUACCUAGCUUAGGAGACUACCUUGAAUAUCAAGUUUUUCAUAAAAAGUCUUUGAAGUUUUCUUAAAAGUAAUUCUCAACUUAACCAAGAUGCACUUAAACUUUGAAAACAUAUUCUUAAGUUUUAAAAGAAUUUGUUGGAGAAUGAUUGUAGCCCAAAACUCACUCAAACUUGCAUUUAUUUCAAGUUAGAGCACAUGUGGAUAUCAAUGUAGACGACCGCUUGCCCUAUGAUGUGGGUUUUUGGCUAGUGGAAGGGAUGUGGAUGAUCACUUGCAUUGUGUUAUGAUUAUUGGCUAUUGGAAGGGAUGUGGAGGUUCACCUUGACGAUCACUUAGUAAUGUGGAUAACCACCUAGGUUAGUUUUUAAGAAUGAUACCCAGAGUACUACAAAAGUCAUAUUAACUCAUUCUCUAGUUUUUCUUAGACAAAGUUGUUACAUAAAAAGACUUAGUAUUUUGGACGACGAAGAAUUGCGAUCAAUGGAUCCAACUAAUAUGAAAGAAAAAUGUGUUUAGUGGGGAGACAAUGUAAAAGAAAAGGUAGAUCAUUAGCAUUGGUAACUUUGGUAAAAGUAUAUCUUCAUUAAGGUAAAUAUUCUCUUAAUUGUGAGUCUAAUUCAUAAAGUUCUUAAAGCAAUUUUUGAAUCAUCAUGUAGCUGCAUCAUAAAAAAAUUUCAAAUUUUUAUGGAUCAUUUAAGCGAAUUAUUGAUUGUUAUAAAAAAAUCAAUGGUUAAGACAAAUGCUUUAUAAAAAAGGAAAGUUUUCAAAAAAAUUUGAAGAAGCAUAUCUUGGUUUCAAAUGACUUAAACAAUAUCUAGAGAUAUUUGUUAUAUUUUACCAAUUUACCUUUUUUAUUUAACUUUUUUUUAGGUGUUGUGAUAUUCCCAACAAGUGGUAUCAAAGCCAUCAUGUGAAGAUUGUGAGAAAUAUUUUUGAAGAUUUUUUGCACAAAAUUUGAUAUUAAGCACUUCAAUGGAAAAGAAUAAUUUCAAUACAUAACAAAUUAUUGUUAAAGAUAUUUUGGUGCAAUUAGGAGUGUAACCAAAACCGAAAAAAUUGACAAAUUAAUUCACACCAACCAAAAAUCCAAUCAUAUUGGUUUGGUUUUCAAUAAUAAAAAAAUGUCAAUUUGAUUUGAGAAUUUUGAAAACUGACUUUGUCAGUUCAUUUUUCAAUUUUCUUAUCUCGCAACCAAUAAAAAUUAAAUAAAACCGAUAUUCUAAAACAAAGUUUCUUUUAUAUUAAAUCUAUUAAAGUAAUUCAUUGUUUUUAUAUUGUAGUCAAAAUAAUUUUAAAUGCAUUCAAUAUAUUUUUAACAUCAAAUCCAAGUUGGUUUCAAUUAAUUUUAAAAACAAAUUAGACUUAGAGUUUAAUAUAAAUUCAAAUUAAUGGGUUUUAGAUUCAAAAUAAACACAAAUUUAUAACUGAGUUGAGGACUAAAAAAGGCCAUUAAGUUGGGUUGAAACUGAUCUAUGAAAACCAAACCAAACAAUCUCAAAGGCUUGGUUUGGUUCAGUUUUUCACUAAAAAUCUAGUUGAUUUGAUUUUUAUCGCAUAUAAAACAGAUGAUAUUGGUUUGAUUCUUUUUUUACCCAAAAACCGAUUGAACCAACCUUAUUUACCUUGCUAGGUGCAAUAAAGACUUUUCAAAUUAUAAGGCAAGAAACUAAGGAAUAUAAGAUUAAGAAGAAUUAGGAACAAAAAUAGUAAACACUAUUUAUUUAAGUUUCUCUCCCUAAUUAAAAUAUAAUAUUUUGAUUAAAAAAUCUUCUUCUCAUUUGUAGGAAAAGUUAACAAAAAUUUAUAUGCCAAAAUCCUUAACAAAUAAAUUAUAUCUAGAGAAAAAACUUAUAUAAACUAAGGAUGAAUGAAGGAAUUGAUGUUGGGGAUUACACAAAUAAAUUUGAUAAGUACACAGUUCAAUUAUUAAGUAUUGAGGUCAAGAUUGAUGGGGAAGUUCAAGAUGUUAUUUUAUUGGCAACUCUAUUGAAAUCAUAUGAGACAUUGAUGAUUAUAAUUUUAAUUGGAAAGAUGAUUUCAACUAUGAAUGAGGUGUCAACUACUCUUUCAGAGCCAAAAUAUUUAGAAGAGUAGUAGUUCAUCUCAUACCCUAUACAAGUUCUUUUAGUGAAGUCUAAAUCAUAUUAUAUUAAGAGUAAAUUGUGAUGGAGAUAUUACUAUGGGAGAGAUGAUUAUUCCUGAUCACACUCUUUGAAGGAUGUGAAGUAUUACCACUAUUACAAAAAGGGACAUGUCAAGAGAUACUAACAAUGCACUGAGAUGAAAAAAAAAACUUGAAUCCCAAGAGACUUCGUAUUCUCCUAAUGUUGUUGAUGAAAAGAUGUCAUGAAAUGCAAACAAAGUACCCAAAAACAAAGACAAAACUUGAAACCUAUGAGAUUCCAAGUUUUGCUAAUGUUGUGAAUCAAAAUUUUGAUAAUGAUGAUAAUAUUUUUUUUUUUAUUAUAACUGAUCCAAAAUUUUGUCACUUUUAGAUUUUAGAUUCCGAAUAUUCAUUUCAUAUAUGCCCAUAUAAGGAGUGUUUUAACACACAUAAGGAAUCUGACAUCAAUAUUUAUUUUAAUACCUAAUGAUUCUAAUUUUAAAGCCCUUAAAAUUGGUAUCAUGAGGAUGAAGAUAUUGGAUAGUAUGGUAAGCAUAUUAACUAAUGAUAAGUAUAUUCCUAAAUUGAGGAGAAGUUUAAUUUCUUUAAAGGCUUUGGAUACUCUAAUUUAUGAUUUAUUUUCCUUUUAUUUUAUUUUAUUUUAUUUUGCAAAUGAUAGUAUUAUGUAGGGUUGCAAUUGGGGGUGGGUUGAUGACUAACCCAAUCCCAACCCAAAUUAAAAAAUAAUUAACCCGAGCUCAACCCAACCCGAACUCUAACCUAAGGUACUUAACCCAAGCCCAAUUCUACCUCAUUUUUCUAAGUUCAGGUUGAGUUCGGGUCGUUCAAGUUUAAGGAUGGCAACAAGGCGGGUUUGAGACGAUCUCUUCCAUCUCAACCCCGUCCCAUUUAUUCAAAAUAAUUCACAUCCUUAUCCCAUUUAAAAAAUUAAACGGGAUGGAGGGAGGCGGGUAUGGGAAUUUAACUUUUUUUUUUUAAUUUUUUUUUAAAUUACUUUUGAAAAUUUUAAUUAUAUUUAAAUAAAUAUAUUUUAUAAAUAAUUAAAUGAUUACAUUUAUUAAAAAUAGUAAAAUAAAAAUUAAAUUAAAUUAAUUAAAAAAAUUAAUUAUAUAUAUAAUUGGGGUAGGAUGAAGCAAUACCUAAACCCAUUUAGUUAUUUUCAAAUGAGUCUCAAACCCGUUUAAUUAAAAUUCAAACUCAUCCAUUAAGGACGGAGCGAGUACCCGAAAAAAUAUGUCUCAUUGUCAUCCAUAUUCAAGUUAAACUUGAGUUAAUCGGAUUGGUUAUGUUAGACUAAAUUGAUUGGGUUACAUAAUUCAAAAUCCAUCUAUAAUAUUAAAAGAAAAAACAAACUUUUUUAAUGCAUUUAUAUGAAAAUUUAAAUAGUAAAUGAGACAAAACUUCAAAAUAACAACAAAAGAAUAAAUAUAAAAUUUGUAUAUUUUCCAAAAAAAAAUGAAAACUAUAUGAUAUAAUAUAAUUUGAUAUUUUUUCUUAAGAAUAAAAAAGAAAAUGAAUAUUAUUAUAUAAGAUAAUAUAUAUUAUAUAUAUUAUAAAAAUAUUAAAAUUGAGUUCGAGUUAGGCUUGGGUUGUUCAAACCUUAGCCCAAGUCCAACUCAAAUUGAGCUUAGAUUGCAAAAAUCUAACCCAAGCCCAACCUGGAUAUUUAAAAUUAUUGCCCAAAACCACCUAAACGUUAAGUUAGGUUUGGAUUGGUUAGGUUAACCCACGCCCAGUUGCACCCCUAGUAUUAUAAAUAUUAAUAAAGAUGCUUUAGUAAUUAUAAAGGGCAAAAAAAGUGAAAAAUUUACAAAAAUUUGAUUUGUACCUAGAAAACCAAAUUCCAUUCCUAUUUGUGGACCCCGCAUUUCGGACUCAUGCGUUUCCCACUCGAUGGCGAGCUCGAUUUUUAUUUUGAAAAAUGAUUUUAUUUAUUAAAAGAAUGAUUUGGAGUCGCCACUUAUUUUUGUUUUAUUUUUUAAAGGGUAAACAAAAUAAGAAAGAAAAACCCUAAGUGUGACUCCUUAUUUUGGAAAAGAUUGGUCUACGAAAAAUUGGAUCAGGUUCGGGGAUUAGGUUACUUAUCGGGAAGGUACGGUGGAGACCGUAGCACCCCUCUAAGUCCCUAGAAACGGGUCUCUACAAAUAAAAUGAAGCUGACAUGAUAAUUGAUGAGAAAAUCAAUGAAUACUCGAUUCAAUCAUGCACAUAUGAGUAUCAGAAUAUGUAUAGAAAAUAACCAGAAUAUGAGCGAAUGCGUACCUGGGUAGCAAACAGCAACGCGCUAUCAUAGAACAGGGUUAGUGAAUUAACACAGAAUAAUUAUAUGCGUAUCAAGAAACAAAGUAAAAUCAAUCACGUAUGGCAAAUACGUCAAUCAAUUAGUCGAUCAAUCAUGAAGUCACGUAUGUGGGGCCCCCACCAAAGCCCAUUUUAUUUUUGCAUGAAUUAAUUCCGUAAAUUCCAUCACUUGGAAUUACAGAAUUUAAAUUCAUGUUUAUUUUAAAUCAUUUUAAAAUCAUGAAAAAUUCGGAAGUUGCUCGCCGAAAAGAAAAUGGCGACCAAAUUUAUUGAAAAUGGGACCUUGGGAACCUCAAGAAAAUGCUCUAAGGAUAAAGAAAAAGGUGGAACGUCGAUUGGAUAGAAUUCUGGAUGUGAGACAUCCGGAGAAGGUGGAACGUCGGUUGGAUAGAGUUCCGGAUGUGAGACAUCCAGGUGGAAUGGCGGCGGAGAAGAAUUUCGGAUGUGAGAUAUCCGGGUGGAAUGGCAGCGGAGAAGAAUUCUGGAUGCGAGAUAUCCAGGUGGAAUGGCGGCGGAGAAGAAUUCCGGAUGUGAGACAUCCGGGUGGAAUGUCGGCGGGGAAGAAUUCCGGAUGUGAGACAUCUAGGUGGAAUGGGAAACGUCGGCUGGAUAGAAUUAUUCUCCGGGUGGAAUGAGCUAUGCCGCGCGUCGCAAGGGAGACCUUUUGCGUGUCCAAGGGAGAGGGAGCCACGCGGUGAUUUUUAGGGAGGAUCCCACAUAUACAUGGGUGAAAGUUUAGAGAGAGAAACGGGUUUGGUGAGUUGUAUGGAUAUGGAGGCUUAGGUGAGUGGUUUUAAUGGGUAUGCGAAGGAGUGAAGGAUAGCAUGCAACCGUGAGACUCCAUGUAAGUGGGGGAGUGGGAUGGAGAAUGAAUGAGGGGAAAAUGGGUGCGGUGGAGGAUGUCUGAUUCCUAUAAGCUUGAGUGAGGAAAUGGGUAUGACGACCUAGAGAGAGAGGUGUAUAGAUGAACGAUGGGUAUGGUGGAUAAAGGAAAAAAACAUGGGGAUGAGAUGAUGACACGCUUGCAUGAGAAUAGAGAUAUCAGGAUAGCAACAAGAGGAAGAACAUGAAGACUUUAACCAGCAUAUCGGACCCAUUUCACCGUUUCAUCCAUGGGUCCAACAUCCAGUGAGUUACGAUGAAAAAUACUCGUCAGAAUAGGGCAUAAAACACAGCAAACUCCUCCAAUAUUUAAUCAAUAAUCACCCAAAACAGAACAACCCAACAAGUGGACAUGAAAAAUCACUGACAAUCAGACCUGGAUAGUAUGAAAAAAAAUGGAAAAUAUACAAAAAAAAAAAAAAAAAACAAAUGGUCAUACUUGGAAAUCUCCCUUUUUAGCUCCGUGUCCUGGACUCUUCCCAGCAACUCUACGCUCCUCUGUUCUUAGCUUCCUACUGCAGUUCAACCCCU
rnacentral:lncRNA from 1 species